rnacentral:lncRNA from 1 species
CUCAAGUGAGGAUUAACGACCCCUGCAGAGGUUCUGCAGUGAAAGGGACAAGGCUUUGGACGCAAGCGGCAGAGAUGGAGAUCUGGGGCACCUGCAUCGUCAGCAGUGGAGCUUCGCCAGGGCUGAAAGAAAUCGCCCGUGCGUUGGUCGAGGUUCCUGCCACCGAGCGUCGUCGGGCUGUAAACCUCUGUGUCCAGAUCUCCCGGCAGAAAGCGUCCGGCGCUGCCCUCAGCGGCAGGCAGUGAGUGCUCGCCCGGGGCCCCUCGACGCCGGGGGGCCGGCAGCAUUUUGCAGUCGUGGUGUGACCUGAAGGGAGUCUGAAGCAGCGUUUGAGCGACAAGCCCCUUCCGAAAACACGCUCGUCAAGUCGUCCCGCACAGCGUAUCUGAAUGGCCACGGCACGGGUGGCCUGGGCAAGAAACAAUAUUUGCAGAGAAGUAAAACUGUUUGGGAGUCAAAUUCCCCUUGACAGAAGCCAACUGAAACCUUGUGGUUUAACUCCGAGGCAGAGUGCUUUGAAAGUGCCAUCCAUUUCUAAAACUUGCUUGGCAGACAACUGGUGCUCCGAAAGCAUCAUCCCACUCCUGGGCUCCAGCCAGCCGAGGCCAAACGCGCCUUCGGCCGCAGUACAAGAUGUGGAGCAGUUGGAUGCAGCCGCGGUUUCCAGCUGCAGGCAGCAGAGCCCGGACUGGUGGCACCACAAGCCUGGCUUCCCCUCUAGCGAUCGCAUUGCGUCCAGAGGCGGUUAA